rfam:Betaproteobacteria bacterium RBG_16_58_11 RBG_16_scaffold_16721, whole genome shotgun sequence.
AAAGCUGACUAGGCAGUCGCUCGCUGCGCGGCUGAGGUUCGGGUUAUCCGGAUUUCGGCGGUGGCGAGAGGAAAGUCCGGGCUCCACAGAGCAGGGUGCCGGUUAACGACCGGACGCCGCGAGGCGAUGGAAAGUGGCACAGAAAAUAUACCGCCGAUGGCCUGGACUUGCCGCCCGUAAGGGCGGCAAAGUCCCCCAAGAAGAGCAGCGCAAGCUGCAAUGAUUGGGUUAGGCACAGGUAAGGUUGAAAUGGUGGGGUAAGAGCCCACCGCACUGGUGGCAACAUUCAGUGGCAGGCUAAACCCCACCCGGAGCAAGACCAAAUAGGGAAACAUUGGCGCUGCUCGCGUUGUUUCCGGGUAGGUUGCUCGAGCGCCGUGGCAACGCGGCGCCUAGAUAGAUGACUGUCCACGACAGAACCCGGCUUAUCGGUCAGCUUUCACC